UCUACGGGAGGCAGCAGUGGGGAAUAUUGCACAAUGGGCGCAAGCCUGAUGCAGCCAUGCCGCGUGUGUGAAGAAGGCCUUCGGGUUGUAAAGCACUUUCAGUCAGGAGGAAAGGUUAACGGUUAAUACCCGUUAGCUGUGACGUUACUGACAGAAGAAGCACCGGCUAACUCCGUGCCAGCAGCCGCGGUAAUACGGAGGGUGCGAGCGUUAAUCGGAAUUACUGGGCGUAAAGCGUACGCAGGCGGUUUGUUAAGCGAGAUGUGAAAGCCCCGGGCUCAACCUGGGAACUGCAUUUCGAACUGGCAAACUAGAGUGUGAUAGAGGGUGGUAGAAUUUCAGGUGUAGCGGUGAAAUGCGUAGAGAUCUGAAGGAAUACCGAUGGCGAAGGCAGCCACCUGGGUCAACACUGACGCUCAUGUACGAAAGCGUGGGGAGCAAACGGGAUUAGAUACCCCGGUAGUCCACGCCGUAAACGAUGUCUACUAGAAGCUCGGAGCCUCGGUUCUGUUUUUCAAAGCUAACGCAUUAAGUAGACCGCCUGGGGAGUACGGCCGCAAGGUUAAAACUCAAAUGAAUUGACGGA
rnacentral:rRNA from 1 species